rnacentral:rRNA from 1 species
CCGCAGAGAUGUGGGAGUGCUCGAAAGAGAACCGUAACACAGGUGCUGCAUGGCUGUCGUCAGCUCGUGUCGUGAGAUGUUGGGUUAAGUCCCACAACGAGCGCAACCCUUGUCAUUAGUUGCUACAUUUAGUUGGGCACUCUAAUGAGACUGCCGGUGACAAACCGGAGGAAGGUGGGGAUGACGUCAAGUCCUCAUGGCCCUUAUAGGUGGGGCUACACACGUCAUACAAUGGCCGGUACAAAGGGCUGCCAACCCGCGAGGGGGAGCUAAUCCCAUAAAACCGGUCGUAGUCCGGAUCGCAGUCUGCAACUCGACUGCGUGAAGUCGGAAUCGCUAGUAAUCGUGGAUCAGAAUGUCACGGUGAAUACGUUCCCGGGUCUUGUACACACCGCCCGUCACACCAUGGGAGCGGGUUCUGCCAGAAGUAGUUAGCCUAACCGCAAGGAGGGCGAUUACCACGGCAGGGUUCGUGACUGGGGUGAAGUCGUAACAAGGUAGCCGU